rnacentral:rRNA from 1 species
AUGGCAGCCAACAAGGUUGUGGUGCUCAUGGCGUUCAUGGCCGCUGCGCUGAGCUCUGUGUCGAACGCCGCCGGGCUGCAGUACAGCUUCUACAACUCGUCGUGCCCAAAAGCCGAGGACACGGUGAGGAACGUCGUCCAAGGCAUGAUCCGCAGUGACCCCACCAUUGGUGCUGCCUUUGUUCGCCUCUUCUUCCACGAUUGCUUUGUCAGGGGUUGCGAUGCCUCCAUUCUGCUAGACCCGACGGCCAACAAGCCAGAGACUGAGAAAACAACAAUCCCUUUGCGCGGAUACGAAGCCGUGAACAAGAUCAAGGAUGCCGUGGAGGCCGUCUGCCCGGGCGUCGUCUCCUGUGCCGACAUCCUGGCCUUUGCGGCGCGCGACUCCACUUGCACCUUGGGCGGGUUCACCUUCCACAUGCCAUCCGGCCGCCUGGAUGGCUUCCAGUCAAUCGCCGACGAGGUCUUCCAGGGCAUCCCAUCGCCCGCGUUUCAGCUCCAAGACUCCUUGACAGCUUCGCCGCCAAGGGCCUCAACGCCGAGGACCUAG